UGAGAUUUCAGCAUCUGAGGCUUGUCGACAUAUCUAGAGAGUGUCGGGACAAGUCGGAGUCGUUUUAGACGAAAUGUACGCAAAACGGACUCAGGACGACGUGAGAGCAGUGUAUUGACAUUGGUGUUAAUGAUUUUAUAGGUUGGCGAAUUUCGUAUUGUGGUUUGGAGUCUUGAAGAGUUGAUCACAGAGGUUUUUGAGAAGAAAUUCAAAUUGGAGAACGAAGACUCAUUCGGAAAGCUCGACACCUAAGGUAUGAAGAAAAGAUCAUUU
rnacentral:lncRNA from 1 species